AGAGGUCAGCACCCAGCACCCAGAGGUCAGAGGUCAGCAUCCAGAGGGGAGAGGUCAGAGGUCAGCACCCAGAGGGCAGAGGUCAGCACCAAGAGGUCAGAGGUCAACACCAGGACAGUAGAGGUCAACACUGGGACAGUAGAGGUCAACACUGGGACAGUAGAGGUCAACACCGGGACAGUAGAGGUCAACACCGGGACAGUAGAGGUCAACACCAGGACAGUAGAGGUCAACAAUAAGACAGUAGAGGUCAACACUAAGACAGUAGAGGUCAACACUAAGACAGUAGAGGUCAAAACUCAGAGAGCAGAGGUCAACACUAGGACCGGAGAGGGAAAUUUGAAAUACAGUCCAAUACUUUGGAAAAUUGGCAAAUUCAUACAGGCUACGUCUACACAACAACAACAACAGGUAAAUUGGUAAUAUAACAUUUGUAGUAUAACCUUCAGCCAUACCAAGAGCCUUUCUCAAUUCCUUACAUUUCUGACGUUCAUCUUGG